ACUCCCCACUCCUUAAGUGUGAGCUGUGCAUAGUGACUUCCUUCCAGAGAAUAGUACAGAAAGAAGG